rnacentral:misc_RNA from 1 species
GUUUUCCCCUUCCCCUGUUUCUACAAUGCCGCCGAAAGCUUCCUCCGCGUCGCGGUGGGGCCGCACCAGAUCGUCCGCCAGAAAAUCUGCUCCCGAAUCCGCCGGCCAGAAACCUUCUCCGCCUCCAUCCACUUCCACCGCCGUGACCGAUUCCCCAUCGCCUCAAAAAGACAAUCAAUCCUCUCCCUUGAUGACCUACUCUACAAAUUCUAAAAUCAGUGAGCAUCCGGAGCAAUCUCUGAGCAUCCAAGUUCCAGAAACAAACACUGGGGAAACCGGAGUUGAGUUGAAUGAAGCUGACCAAGGCACGCCGCCAAAAACAGUGGAAAUUAAAGCUGUUGGGGAGCAGAAAGUAGGGCAGAGUGGUAAGAAAAAAGUGGUGAAAAAGACGGUAAAGAUUGUUAAGAAGAUUAUCAAGAGGAAAGUGCCCAAAUCUGUUGCAAAGAACAGCAAAAUGACGGACGAAUCAGAAGAAGGCCACGCAGAAACUGUUUUGGAUUCACUCGAUGUUGAGAAAGCUAGCUCUCGAGGCACAAUUGAACCAGAAACUGUAUGUUUAGAGGUUAGUAGUGCUGCUACAGUUGGUGAGGGUGGUAACUCGGAGAAGGACAAUUUUCAGCCAAAAGAAGUUGAGGAAGGUAUUAUUGCUGUUGAGGUUAUGCUAGGAAAGGAUGGAAUGAAGGACUGUGAGGUUACUGUAGCUAAAGAUAAGUUGGAGCUUCCAAUUUUGGGAUGUAAUGAUGCAAAGGACAAUCUAGGUUCCCCUGAGACAGGAAAUGUAGUUGUUGAUUCAGAAAAAGGUAAUCUCCGUUCAGUAAAGAUUGUCAAGAAGAUUGUAAAGAAGAAAGUGCCCAAAUCCGUUGCAAAGAACAGUAGAAAGACUGAGGAAUCAGAAAAAGGCAGGGAAAUUGCUGACGCAGAAACUGUUUUGGAUUCAUUAGAUGUUAAAAAAGCUAACUCUCGAGGCACAAUUGAACUAGAAACUGUAUAUGUAGAGCCUUGUAAUGCUGCUGCAGUUAGUGAGGGUGGUGACUUUGAGAAGGGCACAUUUCAUCCAGUAGAAGUUGGGAAAGGUACUAUUGCUGCUGAGGGUAUCUUAGGAAAGGAUAGAAUGAUGGACUCUGAGGUUAGUGUAAACGAAGGUAAAUUACAGCUUCCCAUUUCAGAAAAUAAAGGUGCCAAGGACAAUAUAGGUUCACUCCAGACAGGAAACACAGUUCUUGAUUCAGAAAAAGGUAAUCUUCGUCCGGUAAAGAUUGUCAAGAAGAUUGUGAAGAAGAAAGUGCCCAAACUUGUUGCCAGGAAAAGGGAAAAAAAGGAAGAAUUGGUGAAAGGUAGCAACAAUGGGGAUGCAGAAACUAUAAUGGAUUCAGCAGGCGUUGAAAAAUCUAAACCUAGUCCUCCAGAAACUGAAAACCUAGAAUCUUGUAAGGAUGUUUCAGCUGAAAAUGAGGAGUCAAAGAAACAUAGUUUACAUCCGAUGGAAGUUGAGAAGGCUGAGUGUGUUAGUGAGUUUGGUGCAACUGAAAACACAUUAGAGGCUUGCAUGUUGGAAUGCAAAGAUAGUGUUGUUGAGAAUGAUAAUAUGGAUUCCCUUGAAACACAAAUUGUAGUUCUUGAUUCAGAAAAAAAUAGUCUUAAUGUUUCUACUAGUGAUAAUGUGGAUUCGAGUAAGGAUCAAAAUUUGGUUCAGUUGGGAGAGGAAGGGUACAGUCAAGGCAGAGAGGAAACAAAGGAAGCUGUGGAUACUAGUCUGAGGUUGAAUGAAGGAAUUCUAUUGAGUGGGGAAAUGGAGGCAUUAGAACGGAAAAAGAGGCGGAGGACAGAGAUAUUCAUUGGGGGAUUAGGCAAGGAGUCAAAGGAAGAGGAUAUUAGGAGUAUCUUUGGUGAGGUUGGUGAGGUUGUGGAUGUAAGAUUGUUGAUAAAUCAUGAAACAGGAAAGAACAAGGGGUUUGCUUUCCUCCGGUAUGCUUCUGCUGCUGAUGCAAAGAAGGCUGUAGAAAGAUAUUCCAAAGUUGAGAUAUCUGGGAAGCAAUGUCGUGUAUCCCUUGCUGAGGGUAAUGACACAAUAUACCUGGGUAAUAUUGACAAGAAAUGGAAGACUGAAGAUGUGAUUGAUCUACUGAAGAAGGCUGGAAUUGAAAAUAUCGAUAAGGUCACAGUUAUGGCUAAUCCUAACAACAUCGAGCAGAAUCGAGGCUUUGCAUUUGUUGAACUUGAAACAAGUAAAGAAGCUCAGAUUGCUUUCAGUAAACUCCAAAAGAAGGAUGCUUUUGGGAAACACAUGAACGUAAAAGUUGCAUGGGCACAGCCUUUAAUUGAGCCAAAUGAAGAAGAACUGCUAAAGGUUAAAUCAGUUUAUGCUGAAUAUUUACCUUCCUCAUGGAUUGAAGAAAAAGUGCGAGACUACUUUGGCAAAUUUGGUGAAAUUGAGAGUGUUGUUCUUGCAAAAGAUCUUCCUUCCUCAAGGAGAAAAGAUUUUGCCUUUGUCAAUUAUAUAAGCCGCGAGUCUGCUCUUGCGUGCAUUGAAGGAUUCAGUCAUGAACCAGCUAAUGAAAGCGGAUCCAAGGUAAGCAUUAAGGUAUCUCUUGCUAAACCCAUGCCAAAGAGUAAGCAAACUAAACGUGUAACCCUUCCUACUAGAAGGGAACCUCCGGAGAAGAAGAAAAUACAGGACCAUUCCAUCUUGAAGAGGCAUGAACCCAGCAGAAAGGUAAACUACAUGAGAAGAUAUGAUGAGGAUCACAGAGUUGAAGGAUCUUCUUCUACAACCAAUGAACUUCUGCACCUCUUGAGACAACAAGGGCCAGUUCGUCAGCUCCAUUCCGGUUUGAACAUGGGUAUUAACCAUCAGUACUCGUUAUCUGGAAGCAAGCGACCGUUUUCAGCUGUAGUACAUAAUCCACAUCGUAUGGAUUCCAGUGGAGUUUCUAGAGUGCACUUAGAAAGCUCUUUCCCUACUGCAAACCGAAGUAUGUUGCCACAUAGUCGUGGACCUCUGGGUACACCAUCUUUUGCCUAUUAUGGCCAGCUUGGCAGUGACCAUUCACCAGGUUCAGUUUAUGGGGUCCAAAGCUUUCCGAAUUCUUUUCAGUCUCAUGACCACGACCCUUAUGGUGGAAAUCGUAGCAUAUAUCGUAGAUAUUGAAGGAGUGAUUUGGGAAUCCCACUGAACUGAUGUUUCUAGCAAAGGAUUGACUGUCAUACUGACCUGUUAUUUUGAUUCUGUCAAGUUAUUUGUAAAGUUCAUAGGAAUGUUCAGUUGAGUUGACUCAUGCUCAAGGGGUUUUGUAACUUCAUCUUUACAUAUUUGGGUGACCACCCCAGGACCCAGGUCCUUUCUGUAUACCCUGCAAAUUUUGGCUUUUCGCCUCCUGUUAAAUAUAAUCAACAAUCUAUUCUCAUGAAUUUUCAAGAACUAUUUUU